CAGGAACGGUGCUCCUCACGGACAGUCAGUUUACUUUAGCGCUGUUUAGACCUUACCGGUGUAAAGUAUUUACUAAAAGGCGCACGAAAGAGUUUACGUGUAAAUACGCGCGUCACUUCAGGCGUUAGAUAAUCAGUUCAUUUUAAUGCUGUUAGGUUGCUCAUUCAGUGGGGUCCUACGGUAAAAUACAUUAAAACAGAAGAAUAUUUAACAUUACAGUUUAAAGACAACGACGCAGACCUAAUUAAAAAGUUAAUCCACGCACACACAGACGGGCUCUCGGUCUGGUAAAUAAGCUGAAAAUGCCUGCGCGCUCCCAGAGACACAGCGGUAUGCACAUUUGAAAUUAAUCAAAGGGAUGUGCCUUUUUAUGCCACUGGCGAAUGGUCUUGAUUCUGUCUUGAUGCAUGCUCAAUCAUCCAGCAUUCGGGCGUUUUGCAAUCACUGAAUCGACCAUGAACAAGGCCCAGUUCAGAACUCAGGGGACUGAAACGCUGUGGA
ensembl:lncRNA